rnacentral:rRNA from 1 species
UACGUAGGUGGCAAGCGUUGUCCGGAGUUACUGGGUGUAAAGGGCGUGUAGGCGGGAAGAUAAGUCAGAUGUGAAAUUCCAUGGCUCAACUGUGGCGCUGCAUCUGAAACUAUUUUUCUUGAGUGAUGGAGAGGAAAGCGGAAUUCCUAGUGUAGCGGUGAAAUGCGUAGAUAUUAGGAGGAACACCAGUGGCGAAGGCGGCUUUCUGGACAUUAACUGACGCUGAGGCGCGAAAGCGUGGGGAGCAAACAGG